UUAGGGAGACCUACCCAACUUUGAAAUCGAAAGCAAACAGUGAAUAGAGACAAAGAUGGUCUACUCUAGGUCGGUCGCAGGAAUAGUUAAGGCUUUCAAACUAUAGAAAGGUUCUCAAUUAUGGGCUAUUAGCUCAGGUGGUUAGAGCGCACCCCUGAUAAGGGUGAGGUCCCUGGUUCGAGUCCAGGAUGGCCCACCUGAAGAUAAUUAGUAAUUACUAAUUCGUAGUUCGUAAUUAAUUACGAAUUAUGCAAUAUGAAUUACGAAUUAUUUUGAUGGGGGUUUAGCUCAGUUGGUAGAGCGCCUGCUUUGCAAGCAGGAUGUCAGCGGUUCGAGUCCGCUAACCUCCACAUUAUCUCUGUAGUGAAAGUAAAAAAAGCAAUAAAAUUGUUUUUGAGACGAAAGCAGAGAAUGUGGUAAGACGAAAGAUUGUGGAUAAAAUCAGCAAUUGACUCUUUGUUUAAAUAGUCAAACUGCUGGAAUAAUUCCAGCCAGAACCUUGAAAACUGUAUAGUAACGCGAUAGAAAGCAGGCAGACACAGGCACGAAUAGUGUUGGUGAAUGCAAGUUGGAAAACCAAUGGAAUAGU
rnacentral:tRNA from 1 species